rnacentral:lncRNA from 1 species
CAAACUUUCUGGCUGUCAUUUUGAAGAACUACAGGAUUCUUAAGGCAGUCAGUCCAAAGAAUAAAUGAUCUGAAAAGCUGUAGAUUGAAAGAACCAUGCCAGUUGCUCUGACUCCAGACAGAGAACGAAGAAAUCCUCUACGAGCCCCAUGGGUUCACAGAAGUCUAUCAAUCACACUGUCAGUCUUCCGGAUCAUAAUUCAAGUUGCCUUCCCCAGUUUUGCUGGAUAUAUCAGAUCUACUCCAGCUCCAUAGGUAAUUUUUCUCCCUAAUGGGUUUGGAAUUUGUUCUUUAUUAUCUUUCAGCUAAUGUGCUGCUCAAAGUUUUUGAAAAUGGUAGUAAAAAUGUCA